GCGUGGAGAGUGAAACAUGAUAAACAUGGAAAGUUCCAGUAUUUAAUUUUGGUUCUAGUAAUUCUUCAAUUAGUGUUUUUUUGAAAAGAGGACUCAACUUCCAAUAAAAGAUUUCGAAAUACCGAAGCUAUUUCAUGUUGGAGUCACAUAUAGUGAUCAAGUACAGGGGCCGGUUGUAUCAAGCCCGUUUAGCUUAAACGGUGGAUAAGUCAAAAUUAAAUAACCCUCUUAUAUCUCUCGUGAAUCAGUC